AACGCACAUUGCGCUCUUUGGUAUUCCGAAGAGCACGCCUGUUUGAGUAUCGAAAAAAUCAUCACGAUUCGGUCCUGGAGUUCGCUCCGGUCGACCUUGAGACGUGGACUUGGGCUUUUUCCUGCUUUUUUGCAAGCAGGCAGCCUCAAAACCGAGCGUUGGAAGCCGGAUCUCCUUUACUGGGAUCGCUGCCCGAAAUGUAUUGAAUUGAGGUCUCUCUCAUUUUUCUUUCUUGCAGUUCAGAGCCCGGUGGAGAACUGGUCGACCGAUCAAUCCACUACCCACACACGAGGGGUCGAGAGAUUUGCCCUCUCGAUUCGUCGAAAACUUGGUCUCAAAUCAGGCGGGAAAACCCGCUGAACUUAA
rnacentral:misc_RNA from 1 species